rnacentral:rRNA from 1 species
AGUAGUUUGAUCAUGGCUCAGGAUGAACGCUGGCGGCGUGCCUAACACAUGCAAGUCGAGCGAGAAACCAUCGAUUGAAACUUCGGUAGAUAUUGAAGGCGGAAAGCGGCGGACGGGUGAGUAACGCGUAGGCAACCUGCCCUUUGCAGAGGGAUAGCAACGGGAAACUGUUAUUAAAACCUCAUAAUACCGUAAUGUCAAAUGAUGAAACGGUCAAAGAUUUAUCGGCAAAGGAUGGGCCUGCGUCUGAUUAGUUAGUUGGUAGGGUAACGGCCUACCAAGGCAGCGAUCAGUAGCCGACCUGAGAGGGUGAUCGGCCACAUUGGAACUGAGACACGGUCCAAACUCCUACGGGAGGCAGCAGUGGGGAAUAUUGCACAAUGGGCGAAAGCCUGAUGCAGCAACGCCGCGUGAAGGAUGAAGGCCUUUGGGUCGUAAACUUCUGUCCUUGGGGAAGAAAAAAUGACGGUACCCCUGGAGGAAGUCCCGGCUAACUACGUG